UUGGAGGGCAAGUCUGGUGCCAGCAGCCGCGGUAAUUCCAGCUCCAAUAGCGUAUAUUAAAGUUGUUGCAGUUAAAAAGCUCGUAGUUGAAUUUCAGGCCUGGCUGGACGGUCCGCCCUUCGGGUGAGUACUGUCUGUGGUCGGGUCCUACCUUCUGGCGAAGCGUCAUGGCCUUAACCGGCCGUGGCGGGGAACCAGGACUUUUACUGUGAAAAAAUUAGAGUGUUCAAAGCAGGCAAUCGCUUGGAUACAUUAGCAUGGAAUAAUGGAAUAGGACAAUGGUUCUAUUUGUUGGUUUCUAGGACCGUUGUAAUGAUUAAUAGGGAUAGUUGGGGGCAUUAGUAUUCAAUUGUCAGAGGUGAAAUUCUUGGAUUUAUUGAAGACUAACUACUGCGAAAGCAUUUGCCAAGGAUGUUUUCAUUAAUCAAGAACGAAAGUUAGGGGACCGAAGACGAUCAGAUACCGUCGUAGUCUUAACCAUAAACUAUGCCGACUAGGGAUCGGGCGAUGUUGUUUCCAUGACUCGCUCGGCACCUUAUGGGAAACCAAAG
rnacentral:rRNA from 1 species